rnacentral:lncRNA from 1 species
GGGUGAGCAGCAUGGAUCUUUAUGUCAAUGCCAUGGAGAUGGUCUCUCUGAGCUCCAGAGCUGAAGCUGGACCGGGAGAGGAGAGAGCAGCCCAGGGGACGGAGUAGGAGUAGAAUGAAGCUGACCCUACAUGCUGAUCUUAGCACCAUAUGUUCUUCAGAAGCUGGUCAGCAUAUGAAUAGAAUCCAUCUUCUCUCACCGUCUCCCCACAAGACCUACAUCACACAAGAUGCUUCAGAAUAACAACAACAAGCUGGUGAAGUUACUACCCAACAGGAACAGCCAUGACAACAACAACAAGCUGGUGAAGUUGCUACCCAACAGGAACAGCCAUGACAACAACAACAAGCUGGUGAAGUUGCUACCCAACAGGAACAGCCAUGACAACAACAACAAGCUGGUGAAGUUGCUACCCAACAGGAACAGCCAUGACAACAACAACAAGCUGGUGAAGUUGCUACCCAACAGGAACAACCAUGACAACAACAACAAGCUGGUGAAGUUACUACCCAACAGGAACAACCAUGACAACAACAACAAGCUGGUGAAGUUGCUACCCAACAGGAACAACCAUGACAACAACAACAAGCUGGUGAAGUUGCUACCCAACAGGAACAACCAUGACGACAACAACAAGCUGGUGAAGUUGCUACCCAACAGGAACAGCCAUGACGACAACAACAACAACAAGCUGGUGAAGUUGCUACCCAACAGGAACAGCCAUGACGACAACAACAACAAGCUGGUGCUUCUAGAAAAAACAAUCAAUUUGGAAACAUUAUGAAAAAGUGAAUGUCACCACCAUGGAUGUUUAAGUUAUAUAGUCUACCAAGUGUUAAUGUCUCCACCAUGGAUGUUUAAGUUAUAUAGUCUACCAAGUGUUAAUGUCACCACCAUGGAUGUUUAAGUUAUAUAGUCUACCAAGUGUUAAUGUCUCCACCAUGGAUGUUUAAGUUAUAUAGUCUACCAAGUGUUAAUGUCUCCACCAUGGAUGUUUAAGUUAUAUAGUCUACCAAGUGUUAAUGUCUCCACCAUGGAUGUUUAAGUUA